rnacentral:lncRNA from 1 species
GGGGCCGACCCCUCAUGAAGUUUCCUGCCUGAUUACUUAGGGGGUUGACAUUUUUAUCAAAAUUGGACUUGCAUUGAUUUGCCCAAUUUUUCCCCCUUUUUAUAUCGGGCAUAUAAAGGGAAUUCUUUUCUAGAGUUACUUUGGUGUUUACUAUUGGGGCAUUCCCACUUCAUAUGACCUGGCUCUCCACAUAGAAAACAAUUUGGGCUUUUCUCCUUUUUCACUUUAGGAGGCUUUAAUGCCAUAGCCAAUAUUCUGGCUUUGUGUGUUUCAGUCCCCACCAACGGACAAGCUCGUAUAGGCUGCCUUUCUUCUGAUUGCCUGCUGGCAGUCUACGUUAGUAUUUUCAUAAGCCAACUGCAACAAUAAGAUACCAGCAGCCUGGAAAUGACUAAUUUGUCUCUUAAUUGCCUGUGUUAACCAAUUGAUAAAUUCAGCAAAUGACUCCUGAGGCCCUUGUUGAACAUUUACAAAAGAUCCCUGUUGAACUUCACCUUCAGGAAUUUGGUCACAAGCCCUGCAGGUGCAUAAGGACACUUGUGCAUAGGCUUGGGGGAUAAAAUUUAAUUGUUGUUGUACAUUGACAUAGGGACCCCCUCCCCUGGAACAUAACAGCUGUUAUGUUUUGCCCGGCCAAUUGAUUCUGGUUGGCUUGUUUUUUGUACAACUCAUCAUAUUCUGCCCUCCAGAGAAGGUGUUAACUUGCCUCUAAAGUUGUUUUAGCUAGCACUGACCAGUGCCAUGGGGUCAUAUGGAAGUUAUCUGCUAUGGCCUAAAUUAAUCUUUUUGUAAAUGGGCUAACAGCUCCAUUUUCUCUAAUGCUUUUUCUUAUUUCUUUGUAAGUGUUGAAAGUAAUCGGUUCAUGUACAUGAUUGCCUCAUCAAUCUUGUAUUACUGGGCAGGCCAAGAGCUCCCCUUCUAAUUCCACUUGUCUAAGACACGGUCCCAUAAUUGUAGUGUAUUCCUUGUCUUUUUUCCAAUUCAUUGGGGGAGGGGGCUCAGGGAAAAUCUUUGUCUCCUCUGUGGCACCUUUACCUGGUAAUGGCAGGGCUGAGGGAGGAGGAUGAGGUGGUAAGGUAGAUGAUGUUUCUUCCUCCCUUCCCUUUUUAGGCUUUUCUAUGUAGAGUGGUUAAAGAUGUUACUGGGACCCAUUGCCCUUGUGCAUGAUGUCGUUUAAGAUUUCUUCCCACUUGUUCUCAGAGCUCUGUCUAGUGUGCCUUCUUCUGGGAACCAUGGGUUAUGGAAAACAACAGUUUGAAUUAGGUCCCUUAAUUGAGCCUCCAAGACCGAGGUUCCAGUAGCUUUAAGCAGCUGUUUCAAUAUUUUUAUAUGCUGUUGCUGUUGAGCUGAUAACUGUUGUCCCAUGAUAGAACCCUAGCUUGAAAAUCCCCUUGAACUUGGAAAUCCCCAGGGGGCACCAAUUACUUACUGCACAGUCACUUCACUUACAUUUUUUAGGGUUCCAUUGUGUCCAUUGCAGUGUUCCUCACAUGAGGCACCACUUGCUGGGUCUGUCCUGCAUACCCUGGCCAACCGAUGGAUGAAAUAAGUACUUAGACACAGGUAUGCAAUGUAAGAGCAGGUAGGUGACUGCCUGGCUCAAGUGGCCAGAGUGCAGCCCUGAGAAGCUGGAGCUGCUUGCUUGUAUUCAGUGCAAGCACAAUGCUGAAAGCCUGGAGCAAACACAGUCUGUAGGAGAUUAACUUUUAUUGUUCCCCUUUCACAGGAGUUCUAGACCAGACUGACCAACAUGGUUAAAUCUCAUCUCUACUAAAAAUACAAAAAAUAGCUUGGGUGCAGUAGCACAUGCCUGUAAUCCCAGCUACCUGGGAGGCUGAAACAGGAGAAUCGCUGGAACCUGAGAGAUAGAAGCUGCAGUGAGCCAAGAUCAUGCCACUGCACUGCAGCCUGGGUGACAGCACAAAACUGUGUCUCAAAAAGAAAAAGAAAAAGAAAAAGAAAAA